rnacentral:rRNA from 1 species
UAUCUCUGUAGAGUCUGCAUAUCAAUAAGCGGAGGAAAAGAAACUAACAAGGAUUCCCUUAGUAACGGCGAGUGAAGCGGGAAGAGCUCAAAUUUGAAAUCUUCAAGGUUCUACCUUGACGAAUUGUAGUUUAAAGAAGUGUUUUCUGUUAGAUGAGUAGCAAAAGUUCCUUGGAAUGGGAUCAUCAUAGAGGGUGAGAAUCCCGUAUUUGGUUAUUCAUUCUAGCUUUGUGAUACACUUUCAAAGAGUCGGAUUGUUUGGGAAUGCAGUCCAAAAUGGGUGGUAAAUUUCAUCUAAAGCUAAAUAUUGGCGAGAGACCGAUAGCGAACAAGUACCGUGAGGGAAAGAUGAAAAGAACUUUGAAAAGAGAGUUAAACAGUACGUGAAAUUGUCAAAAGGGAAGCGUUUGACACCAGUGUUGUUUUUCCGAAAAUCAAUUACGAAUGGCUUGAUUUUGUGUUGUAUUGACCUUAUCAGCUUUCUUCACUUUUUUCGAGUCUUUCUUAAUGCACUUUUCGGUUAACAAGUCAACAUCAAUUUCUUUUGUUGUAAAAGAGUAUUCGGAAGGUGGCUUUCUUUUCGGAGAAAGUGUUUAUAGCCCUAUACUUCUACAAUCGGAGAGAUUGAGGUCUGCAGCGUAGAUCCUUCGGGGUUAGAUACACUUGUGCUAAGUUGUAGCUUUUCAUAGACAACUUGUUGACUAUGUUUAGUCAUGCGGCUUACUCGCUUGUGCUAUUUUACCUACGCUUAGGAUGUUGACUGAUAUGUAGUCGUA